rnacentral:rRNA from 1 species
UAUUAGAGUUUGAUCAUGGCUCAGGAUUAACGCUGGCGGCAUGCCUAAUACAUGCAAGUCGAACGAAAGUAGCAAUACUUUAGUGGCGAACGGGUGAGUAACACGUAUCUAACCUACCAUUUAGUGAGGAAUAACUGUUGGAAACGACAGCUAAUACCGCAUAUGUUAUUUAUUUGCAAUGAUAAAUAAUGAAAGGAGCAUUUGCUUCGCUAAUUGAUGGGGAUGCGGCGCAUUAACUAGUUGGUAAGGUAAUGGCUUACCAAGGUAACGAUGCGUAGCCGAUCUGAGAGGAUGAACGGCCACAUUGGGACUGAGACACGGCCCAAACUUCUACGGAAGGCAGCAGUAGGGAAUUUUUCACAAUGGGCGAAAUCCUGAUGGAGCAAUGCCGCGUGACUGAUGAAGGUCUUCGGAUUGUAAAAGUCUGUUGUAAGAGAAGAAGUGCUAGAAUAGGAAAUGAUUUUAGUAUCGACCAUACCUUACCAGAAAGCCACGGCUAA